rnacentral:misc_RNA from 1 species
UAAGACACUAGGACGCCCCUGAA